rnacentral:lncRNA from 1 species
GGAUUAAUGGACAUUAUUUAUUCUGUGUUUUCGAUUUGCCCGACUUCUUCAGGGAUGAUCAAUAGUACCGGGGCGUUUGGAAUUCCGCAGAGAGCCACAGAACAAGUUCGGUCCUGACUUUUCUGCUCAUCAACCAAACAGAAUUUACAUUUAUCGACUGCAAACUUUUAAUAAAUGAGGGUUCAGCCUCACUUCUGCUAGAAGACCCAAAACUUCAAACAACUUUUUACCUCCAUGACCUAAAGAAGGAGGACAGGCUGACGCGUCGGCUUCACAAACGCCCUGCUCAGAAGAAGAGUUUUGCCAGUUGGAGGUUGUUGGAUCUGCAGGAGCUUCGGACUGAAGGAAAGCUGCAAGAGCCGAGGAGAGAAUGACGAAGCGUCCCACUGAGGGAGGACGGCGGCCGCCAAUUUGUGUG